AAUAGGUUGGCAGAUUAGUGCAAUUGACUUAGGCUCAAUAUAUGAAAAUAAAAUUCACCUAUUA
rnacentral:tRNA from 3 species